rnacentral:rRNA from 1 species
GCAAGUCGAGGGGUAACAGGGGAGCUUGCUUCCGCUGACGACCGGCGCACGGGUGCGUAACGCGUAUAGAACCUACCUUUUACAGAGGGAUAGCCUUUAGAAAUGAAGAUUAAUACCUCAUGGUACUGAAUUUUGGCAUCAGAAUUUAGUUAAAGAUUUAUCGGUAAAAGAUGGCUAUGCGUCCUAUUAGCUAGAUGGUAAGGUAACGGCUUACCAUGGCAAUGAUAGGUAGGGGUCCUGAGAGGGAGAUC